UGGCGAACGGGUGAGUAACACGUGGGUGAUCUGCCUUGCACUCUGGGAUAAGCUUGGGAAACUGGGUCUAAUACCGGAUAGGAACCGUCUUUAGUGUGGUGGUUGGAAAGUUUUUUCGGUGCAAGAUGAGCUCGCGGCCUAUCAGCUUGUUGGUGGGGUAAUGGCCUACCAAGGCGUCGACGGGUAGCCGGCCUGAGAGGGUGUACGGCCACAUUGGGACUGAGAUACGGCCCAG
rnacentral:rRNA from 1 species